GAUGGCAGCAAAGCAUUUGACACUUAAGGACCUUGCACACAUGAGGGCAUUCCAGCCAUUGUUAAUCAGCAGGCUGGAGGAGACUGCAGACCUGAAGUUACUUCCAACUUGCAAACUGACACACAACAUAAAGAGUGAGUUUUGAACCAGGAGUUCUAAAACACAGUCACAAUAAGCCUCUGUUAGUCAACAGUUUCAGCUCCUCCAUCUCUGAAAUGGAAAGCUGAUGUCUCUAUCACCAAAGAGGGUUUCUGUACCUUCAACAGCUGCUGGGACAGCAAAACCUGUUGAAUUUCUGCCUGUCACACACAAGACUCCUGCAGGCCAGGAAAUUGUGAAGAUCUCCCAACCUGGAUUGUGUUGCUGGAAGUCAGCAUGACAGAGGGAUCAUUUCCUUCAAUGUACUCCUGCAUUUCCUGUAUCCCCCCGCCCCGUCUCUGGAAAAGCAGCCUGGGAUGACAGUGGGCUUCCAGUCCAUUAUUCCCAUGGUGCCUGAAAUGAAAUCAUAGGUUCAUUUGUUGCCAUAAUUCCCAUUGUGGCCCAUCAAGAGAAGAGUCUACAAAAGCUUUAUUUUGAAUGUGAUCGGUCAUAGCAGAUAGCCUGAGUGUUCAAGCAAUUUUUCAAAAAGAUAAUUCAAUUUUAAAUGUGAAAGUGUUGCAUCCUCCAUUAUUAAAAGAGGAAGAAGGGCUCUGGUUGAAUUCUUUUCAUGUUCAUGCCAAUUUCCCAUGUGCAGAGAUUCUUUUUUAGCAAGGGAUAUAAUUCAGAUAUGCAAUUAUCAGAUUCCACAGAUGUCCUGGUGUGACACAGACUAGUAGCACAUCCUAUGCACAAUGACUUGGAAGAAAAUCCCAUUGCAUUCAGUGAUGCUUACUCCCUACUAGCACACAAAAUGUUUCUGAUAAUGGUCAGGCUUGCACUCUGCAGUGGAAACAGCAGUGAGAAGGUAUGGAAAGAAAGCUGAUUAUAUCAUGCCUGAUUUGGUGUUAAUUGCAGUGCUGCUGCUUUAAUGAGCAUGUUCCUUCAACUGUGUCCAGCUGUUGGGGGAAAACACACGGUGUGCUGCCCAUUCAUUGUAUUCCCUCUGUGCAGAGCUCCUGUAAAAAUUGGAUGUGUGGUCUGCCAAAGAGAAUCUACUAACUGCAGACAUUAGCUCUUGGAUUGUAGACAUGACCUUACCCCUUGGACCUGAAGCAAUUGAUUUGAAGACCCAGCCUCCCUUUUCUACAACCCCCAUGGCUCCCCCAAUUCAUUAAUUUCAUUGGAGAGACAAGACAUCCUGUGUGAUGUCAGCAAGUGCAUUUGGCUCUCCAAGGCUUUUUCCCAAGGUGAGGAUUAGAGAGCAUCAAAUGCUGUUGGAGGGAGGGAGGAAAUCUCAUGUAAUGCUUUUGUUCUGCUAACAGCUAUGUAAAGAGCUGCCUGGGAGUUUUGGAAUGGAAUCUGUCAGCACUUUAAUCCUGUUCUAGAAAAUUGUGAUGGAGACAGCACAGGGAAUGAUGUCAUUGACAGACCCACAGAAUAAUAGCUCCCCCCUCCAGCCAUUUUGUCUUCCAAUCAACAUCCUUCUUUCUGAAACUCCAGUGUCUAAUUGGCUGAAUCAUAGACUGGCAUUAUGGUUUCCCCUCCCAUACAGCUGUGUUAAAAUUUGAAACCCAGAUAUAUGAGGAGUAAAGCUAAUACAGAAGGGAGCCUGUUCAAUGCUAUCCGCAGACUUCAGAGGCAUUUCUGUGCGCUCUGUCUUUGGCACUGUGUGCAGGAAAUUCCUCUCUGGUCUGUACAAUGCAAUAAACAAGCCUCCUGUGUAUCAGCUUAAGCUUUUAGCACUUCCAUCUCAUCCUAGGGAGAGCAGUAAAUCUGCAAAGAAUAUGCCCAUUUGCUUUGUCAGGCUCAGGCUGCACCCUUAUGCAAAGGCUGCAUUCAUUCAGCACCUGUUACUGUGUGAGGCCUUAACCCUGAAAUAUCGCUGAUAAUAUAUGCACAUCUAAGCCAUGAUUAUUACAUCUUGAGACUUGCUGAUUGAUUACAUGUGUGAAAUAGUAAAGCUGAACAUAAGGCUGUAAACCAAGAAUUCCAGCGAUCUAAUCGUGGCUUGGUUAAAGCUUGAAGGCUUUGACUAAAUACCAUAUUUAAAAGGUUUCCCAUGCAUCUUUGCAUAGAGUUCAUGCAUGCAGUUCUUUCGAUAACUUGGUCUUCACUCCCCUUCACUUUUAGUCCCUUGCUCCAGUUUGUAUCAUAUGUCAACCCAAGCACUUUUAGUUGAACAUUUCAGUUUAUUUGUAUUGCCUUUAAAAAUGUUUACCUCUUACCAAGUUCUGUAGGAUUGAUU